AUAAUAGGCAAAACCGGAGUGAUCUGGUGACGCAAAACUAUAGGGUCUUAUGCAGAUGAUAAGACAGCCAGUUGCCA
rnacentral:ncRNA from 1 species